UGCGUAGGGAGCAAGCGUUGUCCGGAAUCAUUGGGCGUAAAGCGCGCGUAGGCGGCCUCGUAAGUCCGUUGUGAAAGUCAAAGGCUCAACCUUUGAAAGCCGAUGGAUACUGCGAGGCUAGAGUCCGGAAGAGGCGAGUGGAAUUCCUGGUGUAGCGGUGGAAUGCGCAGAUAUCAGGAGGAACACCAAUAGCGAAGGCAGCUCGCUGGGACGGUACUGACGCUAAGGCGCGAAAGCGUGGGGAGCGAACAGG
rnacentral:rRNA from 1 species